rnacentral:rRNA from 1 species
CCUACGGGAGGCAGCAGUGAGGAAUAUUGGUCAAUGGCCGAAAGCCUGAACCAGCCAAGUCGCGUGAGGGAAGACGGCCCUACGGGUUGUAAACCUCUUUUGUCGGGGAGCAAAGCGAGUCACGUGUGACGCAUUGAGUGUACCCUAAGAAAAAGCAUCGGCUAACUCCGUGCCAGCAGCCGCGGUAAUACGGAGGAUGCGAGCGUUAUCCGGAUUUAUUGGGUUUAAGGGGUGCGCAGGCGGAGUUGAAAGUCAGCGGUCAAAUUGCGGGGCUCAACCCAGUAUUGCCGUUGAAACUGCAUGCCUUGAGUGCGCGAGAGGCAGGCGGAAUGCGUGGUGUAGCGGUGAAAUGCAUAGAUAUCACGCAGAACUCCGAUUGCGAAGGCAGCAUACCGGGGCGCAACUGACGCUGAUGCACGAAAGCGUGGGUAUCGAACAGGAUUAGAUACCCGAGUAGUC